AAAUGAUUUAUAGUUGGGGAGAAUUUAUGAUCAAAGGAUUGUCUCCAAUAGGGUAUAUCUGAGGUUCCAUACCAGGAGCGUCAUUAAAAUUGAUGCCAAUUUUAUGAAAUAUGUUCAUUUUGAAGCAGAUGUGUAUUAGUAGACAAGCCAAUAAUUUAAACAUACUCAAUGAAAAUUCCAUAGUGCAAUUUUAUCUAAGGUAUUUUAUGAUUACUCUCUUAGAGCCACAGUUUUAAGCAGCUUUUUCCUAAACUAGGCUCGUUAUUAAUUUUCAACACUUCAUACUAUGAUGAAGACAUCACAUACUUUAGACAGCCUUAAUAGAACAAAUUAUUCAACAAAGUUGAUUAUACGUUCUAUAAAGUAAAUCACAUUCUCUCAUUGAGUGAGCUGAGUCUUUUUGAGUGUGGGGACAGAGUCCCUGCAGUCAGGAGCUCCAAGGCAUAGAACUGCCUGCCCUGCUCUGUCCAGCAGGUAAUGCUGCAUUCCACAGGCCUCUUCUUCAGCCUUGCCCACUCAGCAGAGUACCUCAGGUUGUGACCAUGAACGACUGAUGAGAGUAACUUCUGACUUGCUCAGGGGAUCCUCUUGCCAUCAAUUCCCUUCAGUAUGACCAACCGCAGUGGCUUACUCGCUUCUUGUCCAGACCAUCCACCAUCUGUCUGCCCCAUGAUGCUCUCAAACCCCAAAGUCCUAAUAUCCCAGGCCUCUUUGUCUGUGAGAGGAAAUGGUUCCCUCACUUUAAGUUCUGUAGGCUAAUCAGAAAGGGAUCUCUCUAUAGUUUCAAAAAGUGAAAUUUUACUUGCACUACAGAAAUAAGAAACUUACAGAUUUGUCCUUGAAGACCUACUAACCUGCAACUUUAGGGUCCUGAAAGAGGAUUAGUAUGUUUAUAAGUACUUUUAUUACAGUAUUUUUUAUUUGUUUCGGAGACAGGGUCUUGCUCUGUUGCCCAAGCUGAAGUGCAGUGGUGCAAUCACAGCCUGCUGCAGCCUUGGCCUCGCAGGCUCAAUCAAUCCUCCUGCUUCAGCCUCCUAAGCAGCUGGGAACACAGGCUCAUGCCACCACAUCUAGCUAAUUUUUAUUUUUUGAUAGAGAUGAGGUCUCACUGUGUUGUCCAGGCUGGUCUCAAAUUCCUGGACUCAAGCAAUCCUCCCACCUCGGCCUCCCAAAUGCUGGGAUUACAGGCAUGAGCCACUGCGCCCAGCCUUCUACUUGGGAGGCUGAAGCAGUAGGAUCACUUGAGCCCAGGAGCUUGAGGCUGCAGAGGUCGAGGCUGUAGUGAGCUGUGAUUGCACCACUGCACUCCAGCUUGGGUGACAGACUGAGACCCU
rnacentral:lncRNA from 1 species